rnacentral:rRNA from 1 species
AGAAUCAACGCUGGCGGCGUGCCUAACACAUGCAAGUCGCACGAGAAAGGGACUUCGGUCCUGAGUACAGUGGCGCACGGGUGAGUAACACGUGAAUCAUCUACCUCCGAGUGGGGAAUAACCUAGAGAAAUCUGGGCUAAUACCGCAUAACACUUACGAGUCAAAGCAGCAAUGCGCUUGGAGAGGAGUUCGCGGCAGAUUAGUUAGUUGGCGGGGUAAUGGCCCACCGAAGACGAUGAUCUGUA